UACAGAGGGUGCGAGCGUUGUUCGGAAUUACUGGGCGUAAAGCGUGCGCAGGCGGUUCGUUGUGUCGGACGUGAAAUCCCCAGGCUCAACCUGGGAACUGCGUCCGAUACUGGAUGGCUUGAAUCCGGGAGAGGGAUGCAGAAUUCCAGGUGUAGCGGUGAAAUGCGUAGAUAUCGGGAGGAACACCAAUGGCGAAGGCAGCUUGCUGGGACGGUACUGACGCUGAGGCGCGAAAGCGUGGGGAGCAAACAGG
rnacentral:rRNA from 1 species